rnacentral:rRNA from 1 species
CCUACGGGGUGCUGCAGUGAGGAAUAUUGGUCAAUGGCCGGAAGGCUGAUCCAGCCAAGCCGCGUGAAGGACGAAGGUGCCAAGCAUUGUAAACUUCUUUUGUCAAGGGACAAAAUCAGGCUCGAGUGCCUGACCGAGGGUACUUGACGAACACGCAUCGGCUAACUCCGGGCCAGCAGCCGCGGUAAUACGGAGGAUGCGUGCGUUAUCCGGAUUUACUGGGUGUAAAGGGAGCGUAGACGGUGCGCCAAGUCUGGAGUGAAAUGCCGCAGCUUAACUGCGGAACUGCUUUGGAAACUGGCGAACUAGAGUGCGGGAGGGGGAAGCGGAAUUCCUAGUGUAGCGGUGAAAUGCGUAGAUAUUAGGAGGAACACCGGUGGCGAAGGCGGCUUACUGGACCUUAACUGACGUUGAGGCUCGAAGGCGAGGGGAGCAAACAGGAUUAGAUACCCGGGUAGUC